AGAGUUCACGUAUUGAUUGA
rnacentral:siRNA from 1 species